rnacentral:misc_RNA from 1 species
GUGGGAGGGGGCUUGCUCCCGAUGGCGGUGGGUCAAUCAAAGUAUGAGUGACUGACACACUGCAAUCGGGAGCAAGCCCCCUCCCAC